rnacentral:rRNA from 1 species
CAGUCGCCGCGGUAAUACGUAGGUGGCAAGCGUUAAUCGGAAUUACUGGGCGUAAAGCGUGCGCAGGCGGUUAUAUAAGUCAGAUGUGAAACCCCCGGGCUCAACCUGGGAACUGCAUUUGAGACUGUAUGGCUAGAGUGUGUCAGAGGGGGGUAGAAUUCCACGUGUAGCAGUGAAAUGCGUAGAUAUGUGGAGGAAUACCGAUGGCGAAGGCAGCCCCCUGGGCCAAUACUGACGCUCAUGCACGAAAGCGUGGGGAGCAAACAGGAUUAGAUACCCCUGUAGUCCCUGUCUCUUAUAC